rnacentral:rRNA from 1 species
AUUGAACGCUGGCGGCAUGGCUAAAACAUGCAAGUCGAACGAACCCGCAAGGGUGAGUGGCGAAAGGGUCAGUAAUGCGAUCGAACGUACCCUGAGGUAGAGGAUAGGUCAUCGAAAGGUGGCGUAAUACUCUAUGAUAUCCUCGGAUCAAAGGUUUACCGCCUUGGGAGCGGCGAUCGUCCUAUCAGGUAGUUGGCGGGGUAACGGCCCACCAAGCCGAAGACGGGUAGCAGGUGUGAGAGCACGACCUGCGACAUCGGGACUGAGACACUGCCCGGACUCCUACGGGAGGCUGCAGUAAGGAAUAUUGGUCAAUGGACGCAAGUCUGAACCAGCCAUGCCGCGUGAAGGAUGAAGGUCCUCUGGAUUGUAAACUUCUUUAUCUGGGACGAAACACUCUUAAUCUUAAGAGCUUGACGGUACCAGAGGAAUAAGCACCGGCUAACUCCGUGCCAGCAGCCGCCGUAAU